rnacentral:rRNA from 1 species
GAUGAACGCUAGCGGCAGGCUUAAUACAUGCAAGUCGAGGGGCAGCACGGGUAGCAAUACUUGGUGGCGACCGGCGCACGGGUGCGUAACACGUAUACAAUCUACCUAUAACAGGGGGAUAGCCUUUCGAAAGAGAGAUUAAUACCCCGUAAUAAAUUGAGUGGCAUCACUUGAUUUUGAAAGUUCCGACGGUUAUAGAUGAGUAUGCGUCUGAUUAGCUAGUUGGUAGUGUAAUGGACUACCAAGGCGACGAUCAGUAGGGGAUCUGAGAGGACUACCCCCCACACUGGUACUGAGACACGGACCAGACUCCUACGGGAGGCAGCAGUAAGGAAUAUUGGACAAUGGUCGCAAGACUGAUCCAGCCAUGCCGCGUGCAGGAAGACGGCCCUAUGGGUUGUAAACUGCUUUUGUACCAGAGAAAGCCUAUCUACGUGUAGAUAGCUGAUAGUAUGGUAAGAAUAAGCAUCGGCUAACUUCGUGCCAGCCGCCGCCGUAAUAC